rnacentral:tRNA from 1 species
GCCUGGCUAGCUCAAUUGGCAGAGCAGUUGACUCUUAAUCAAUUGGUUCGGGGUUCGAGUCCCCGGCCAGGUACCA